rnacentral:rRNA from 1 species
UACAGGGGGUGCAAACGUUGCUCGGAAUUACUGGGCGUAAAGCGUGCGCAGGCGGCGCGUUAAGACAGGUGUGAAAGCCCCGAGCUUAACUUGGGAAUUGCGCUUGUGACUGGCGUGCUGGAGUGUGGCAGAGGGAGGUGGAAUUCCACGUGUAGCAGUGAAAUGCGUAGAGAUGUGGAGGAACACCAGUGGCGAAGGCGGCUUUCUGGUCUGUAACUGACGCUGAGGCGCGAAAGCGUGGGGAGCAAACAGG